GGUCCUUUUCUCAGAACUCGAGACUUGACCUUCUUGUCGAAUUCUUUCAUCACUCUCUGCUGAUAUAACUGACCAUGACACAUGGCGGUUGAUCUCUUCUUCUUGAUCGAAUUCAGCAUCAGUCAACUUGGGACUUUGAGGGUGCUAUUUCUCUUUUGUUUUUUUCUUUCUUUUUCUUUCUUUUGAUUUCUUUUGAUUUUGCACCCUCUCUUUCUUUGUUUUUUUUUUUUUAUUGAUUUUUUUUUCUCUCUUUUUUUUUU
rnacentral:lncRNA from 1 species